rnacentral:rRNA from 1 species
UGGAAACUGGGAAACUUGAGUCCUUAAAAGGAAAGUGGAGUUCUGUGUGUAGCGGUGAAAUGCGUAGAGAUAUGGAGGAACACCAGUGGCGAAUGUUUCCUUAAGGAAUGUAACUGACACUGAGGCGCGAAAGCGUGGGGAGCAAACAGGAUUAGAUACCCUGGUAGUCCACGCCGUAAACGAUGAGUGCUAAGUGUUAGGGGGUUUCCGCCCCUUAGUGCUGAAGUUAACGCAUUAAGCACUCCGCCUGGUGAUUACGGCCGCAAGGCUGAAACUCAAAGGAAUUGACGGGGGCCCGCACAAGCGGUGGAGCAUGUGGUUUAAU